AUGGCAUCAAAAAAUUUGAGACAUUGGAUGUCUGAUUCACAAGUUGGCAUAUUUAUGCUAUGGUCACUUAUGAAUUGUGCAUCUGAGCUUCUCAUUUUUGUCUAUGGUAGACAAAGUGUGAUCUUAAAAUGUGAUUUACACUUGGAUAGCUCUUUCAAUCUUAAUUUCAUUGGAUUCUUUGAUAGAUUUAUGUAUUUAUGCUUGUUUUCUGAUUCCCCUUUUCUCAGUAAUCUGUAUUUAUGCAUCUUGUUGUUCCUGAUGUCGUAG
rnacentral:rRNA from 1 species